AAUUCUUAUAGGGGGUCUGAUGGGUCAGACCUCAGUGGAGCCAGUCUGGUACCUUGAAGAGGAUUUCAUUUUACUAAAUGUCAAGAGUUUGAUUGUUUUUGUUGAUCAUAAUUUGACAAGCAACAUGGGGCCUCAGAGAAGACUAAGAACCCUGAAGGAGUUGUCUGAACCUCGAGCUAAGGAUCAGCAGGAGCUCAUUGAAAGCCUCCUUGACUUUGAGUUUCUCCUCUGGUAGAAUUGGGGAGCUGAAGAAGCCCAGAACAACAAUUCCCAAAUGCAUAUUUACUGCGUUACCUCUGGUGACUGUAGUUUAUUUACUGGUUAACAUUUCCUAUCUGACUGUUCUGACACCCAGGGAAAUUCUCUCUUCAGAUGCUGUAGCUAUCACAUGGGCUGAUCGAGCUUUUCCCUCAUUAGCAUGGAUUAUGCCUUUUGCUAUUUCUACCUCAUUAUUUAGCAACCUUCUGAUUUCUAUAUUUAAAUCAUCGAGACCAAUAUAUCUUGCAAGCCAAGAGGGCCAGCUGCCUUUGCUAUUUAAUACACUUAAUAGUCACUCUUCUCCAUUUACAGCUGUGCUA
rnacentral:lncRNA from 1 species